UUGGAACUAGAGGAAUCUUAA
ensembl:piRNA 21ur-1158 ncRNA